rnacentral:rRNA from 1 species
UACGUAGGGCGCAAGCGUUAUCCGGAAUUAUUGGGCGUAAAGGGCUCGUAGGCGGUUUGUCGCGUCGGGAGUGAAAUCCACUGGCUUAACCGGUGGCUUGCUUUCGAUACGGGCAGACUGGAGUACUGCAGGGGAGACUGGAAUUCCUGGUGUAGCGGUGGAAUGCGCAGAUAUCAGGAGGAACACCGGUGGCGAAGGCGGGUCUCUGGGCAGUAACUGACGCUGAGGAGCGAAAGCGUGGGGAGCAAACAGG